ACCCCCGGGGGAAUGAGUGGUGUAAACGCAAUGUUAAUCCAACCAUGCUGAUCAGAGCUGUGUCCUGAUAGGGAUUUGGUUUCGACAAUUCAGAAGAACAUGAAGAACACUCACAGUGCCAUUGCCAUAUCCAGUUCGGAGCACAGCAGACACAGUGAGGGGCCUUGAGUACUGCCCUUGUGUCCAGGAACCACCAGGAUAUGCGCUGUGUCAGGACAGGAAAUCUCCAGUGAAUCCCCUUGGGGACAAUGCACAGGCUGAGGGAGCCGCCCAAUGUUCAUGUCCCGCUCAGUCUGACAUCGGUCCCUGGUGUAAUAUAACCAAGAGGAAAUCUACUAACAGUAUCAAGAGGAUGUUUGGCCACAAGGAGUGACUCUGUAGGAACAGAUUAUUCCAUUUCCUCUUCCACAAACAUAACCAUGGAUCACACCCUGCUCUGCCCUCUUAUCGAUAAGUUUGUUUGUGUUUUUGGCCCAUCUCUAUAACACAGGA